GACGAACGCUGGCGGCGUGCCUAACACAUGCAAGUCGAGCGGGGUCCAACCAGUGGCAACACUGGGGAAGACCUAGCGGCGAACGGGUGAGUAACACGUGAGAAACUUGUCCCGGAGUUCGGGAUAACCCGAGGAAACUCGAGCUAAUACCGAAUGCCCUCUUCUGGUCGCAUGGCCAGCUGAGGAAAGAUUCAUCGCUCCGGGAGAGUCUCGCGGCCUAUCAGCUAGUUGGUGGGGUAACGGCCCACCAAGGCAUCGACGGGUAGCUGGUCUGAGAGGAUGACCAGCCACAUUGGGACAGAGACACGGCCCAGACUCCUACGGGAGGCAGCAGUGGGGAAUAUUGCGCAAUGGGCGAAAGCCUGACGCAGCGACGCCGCGUGUGGGAUGAAGGUCUUCGGAUCGUAAACCACUGUCGGGAGGGACGAAGCUCUGACGGUACCUCCAAAGGAAGCACCGGCUAACUCUGUGCCAGCCGCCGCGUAAUAC
rnacentral:rRNA from 1 species